rnacentral:rRNA from 1 species
UACGUAGGGGGCAAGCGUUGUCCGGAUUUAUUGGGCGUAAAGAGCGUGUAGGCGGUCAGGUAGGUCCGUUGUGAAAACUCGAGGCUCAACCUCGAGACGCCGAUGGAAACCAUCUGACUAGAGUCCGGAAGAGGAGAGUGGAAUUCCCGGUGUAGCGGUGAAAUGCGCAGAUAUCAGGAAGAACACCCGUGGCGAAGGCGGCUCUCUGGGACGGUACUGACGGCUGAGACGCGAA